UGCGGCGCGCCGUCGACGGAGGCUGGCGCUCUGUCGAUCGGACGCCACCGCGUCGCCGUCGUGUCGCUCCGUCCGUAGUCGGCAAACGUCCGAACGCGCGUGCGCGCGCGCGUCUCGACAGUUGUGCCAAGUUUGAGGAGCGGAGCGCACACGGGCGCGCGCUCUCCGGCAGCGCGUGGUGUCCCGGCCAGGUGGACUGUGCCCUCCUUACAUCGCACUCCGUCAAUGAUCCCCCGUGCAUGUGACCGCUCGACAGCCCCAUGGCCGAGCUGAAUUGCAGCAGCGAGCAGGCGCAGCUCGGCGGUGACGUGCUCCUCGUAAACUUGAGCGCGUUCGGCGAAGAGCUCGCAGGCGGCGUCUGGAGCAGCAAUGGCGGUGCCCCCUUCACGUGGUCCGAGUACGUCAAGAUCGGCGCGUACCUGGCGACCAUCGCGGUGGCCGCCGUGGGCAACACUUGUGUCAUCCUGACGGUGGCGCUGAACCGCAGCCUGCGCACCACCAUCAACUGCUACCUGACAAACCUGGCCGUGGCGGACGCCAUUAUCAGCAUGUUCUGCAUGUGGGUCUACCUGGUCAAGAACUUGUCCGACUGGUACGUGCUCGGAGCCUUCAUGUGCCGCAUCGAGGGAUUCGCCCAGAUGACGGCGGUGACGUGCAGCGUCCUCACGCUGUCUGCGAUCUCGUGCGACCGGUUCACGGCCAUCCUGUACCCUUUCCGGGCACGCAUCACCAAGCAGCGCACGGGCGGAGUGCUGGCUGCCGUGUGGCUCCUGUCGGCCACCGUCGCCUCGCCUCUCCUGCUCUACACCACGCCCUACAACGUGCAGUGGACCGACGUGGAGCUGACGUACUGCGGCGAGAGCUGGCCGCAACGCAUCGAGUGGGACCCUGUGGAGGAGGCGUGCGUGGCGCGGUCACCAUUCAAGCAGCUCUAUUACACGGCGGUCACGGUGGCCCUCUUCUUCGUACCCGUGCUCGUGAUGAGCUCGGCUUACGCGCUCAUCUUGCACGCUCUCUGGAGGGACCGGCACCCGGGCGAGGCCAACGCCAACAAUGCGCUGCUCCACUCCCGGGCCAAGAGGAAGGUUGUGAAGCUGGUGUGCGUGGUGCUCCUUGUGUUUGUCCUCUGCUGGAUGCCCUUCCAAGUCAUCGUUCUGUUCUCUCAGUUUCGGGACAACGGGAACCACAGCCAACCGCUGCCUUCGUGGUUCUCGCCGGCGUCGUUCUGGUGCACCUACUUGGCGUACGCCAACAGCGCGCUGAACCCCAUCAUCUACGGCGGCAUGACGCCCACCUUCCGCCAGGGCCUGGCGAACGUGUUGCGCUGCGGGCACCGGCGCAGGACCGACUAUCCGAAACGAUGGUCGGUGCGGUCCCGGCUGACGCUGACCACCGCCCCGAACGCCGGCAGCGCCGCUCGUCCUCUGCGGUUAUGCGCCAAGACUUCCUAUUCGGGCACUUCGUCCACGACGAUGCUGCUCACCGCGCAGAGGGCGACGCCACCCGUGGCGCGGUGCGCCUGCCGCACCGGCAGGGUGUGCGCCGCCACCGACGUGUAGUGCAUGGUUCUUUCCUGGCACACCGGCGCUCGAACUGAACGACACGAAAGGACGCGCACCUGCGCACGCGAAUAAAAAGAAUCAACUGUGCAUCUAUUUGCAUGUCAAACAAAAACAAAAAAGUGUGCAAAAUCAUUGGCGAGGUGUACGGAUGACGAGUGCAGGCUGGGGAGAGAAUGAAAUAAAACCGCUUCUGAGGCAUUUCUGAGGAGCGCGUGGUGAAGGCACCGUCCUCUUCGGCUGCGACACAUCCUCUCUGUUGUUGAUGCUUGCAGGCAAAGGGCUCACAUGGUCACGAGACGCUACCAAAUUAAUGCACACGUAUCUGCGGGCCCACAAUGCACCUCUGUUCUUUACAUGGACCCUUGUAGCAACCCAGAAUAGGCCUAUGACAAAUGGAAAAACGUUUUCUCUACAACAUUUUCCCUACAAGAAUGGCACAUCGGUGCAUUCCUACAAGGAGAGCAAGAUUUAAAGG